rnacentral:rRNA from 1 species
AGAGAGAGACAUGCGCGCAUAUCAAUAAGCGGAGGAAAAGAAACUAACAAGGAUUCCCUUAGUAACGGCGAGUGAAGCGGGAAGAGCUCAAAUUUGAAAUCUUCAAGGUUCUACCUUGACGAAUUGUAGUUUAUAGAAGUGUUUUCUGUUAGUAGGAGUGGCAAAAGUUCUUUGGAAUAGGUACAUCAUAGAGGGUGAGAAUCCCGUAUUUGGUCAUUCUUCCUAGCGUUGUGAUACACUUUCAACGAGUCGGAUUGUUUGGGAAUGCAGUCCAAAAUGGGUGGUAAAUUUCAUCUAAAGCUAAAUAUUGGCGAGAGACCGAUAGCGAACAAGUACCGUGAGGGAAAGAUGAAAAGAACUUUGAAAAGAGAGUUAAACAGUACGUGAAAUUGUCAAAAGGGAAGCGUUUGACACCAGUGUUGUUUUUCCGAAAAUCAAUUACGAAUGUUUUGUUUUUGAGGAGUUAUGACUUCAUCGGCUUGCUUCUCUCUUUACGAAACUUUCUUAAUGCACUUUUCGGUUAACAAGUCAACAUCAAUUUCUUUUGUUGUAAAAGGGUAUGAGGAAGGUGGCUUUCUUUUCGGAGAAAGUGUUUAUAGCCUUGUACCUCUGCAAUCGGAGAGAUUGAGGUCUGCAGCGUAGAUCCUUCGGGGUUAGAUACAUUUGUGCUAAGUUAUAGCUUUUCAUAGACAACUUGUUGACUAUGAUUAAGUCAUUGUAGCUUACUCGCUUAUGCUAUUUUACCUACGCUUAGGAUGUUGAUAGUCACAGCGUGUAC